UACGAAGGGGGCUAGCGUUGCUCGGAAUCACUGGGCGUAAAGCGCACGUAGGCGGGUCUUUAAGUCAGGGGUGAAAUCCCGGAGCUCAACUUCGGAACUGCCUUUGAUACUGGAGAUCUUGAGUCCGGGAGAGGUGAGUGGAACUCCGAGUGUAGAGGUGAAAUUCGUAGAUAUUCGGAAGAACACCAGUGGCGAAGGCGGCUCACUGGCCCGGUACUGACGCUGAGGUGCGAAAGCGUGGGGAGCAAACAGG
rnacentral:rRNA from 1 species